rnacentral:rRNA from 1 species
UACAGAGGUCUCAAGCGUUGUUCGGAUUCAUUGGGCGUAAAGGGUGUGUAGGCGGAUAUUUAAGUCCGAGGUGAAAUCUCUGAGCUCAACUCAGAAACUGCCUUGGAUACUAUUUAUCUUGAAUAUCGUUGAGGUAGGCGGAAUAUGUCAUGUAGCGGUGAAAUGCUUAGAUAUGACAUAGAACACCGAUUGCGAAGGCAGCUUGCUAAACGAUUAUUGACGCUGAGGCACGAAAGCGUGGGGAUCAAACAGG